UACGGGGGGGGUAAGCGUUGUUCGGAAUUACUGGGCGUAAAGGGCUCGUAGGCGGCCAACUAAGUCAGACGUGAAAUCCCUCGGCUUAACCGGGGAACUGCGUCUGAUACUGGAUGGCUUGAGUUUGGGAGAGGGAUGCGGAAUUCCAGGUGUAGCGGUGAAAUGCGUAGAUAUCUGGAGGAACACCGGUGGCGAAGGCGGCAUCCUGGACCAACACUGACGCUGAGGAGCGAAAGCCAGGGGAGCAAACGGG
rnacentral:rRNA from 1 species